rnacentral:rRNA from 1 species
UACAGAGGUGGCAAGCGUUGUUCGGAAUUACUGGGCGUAAAGGGCGAGUAGGUGGCCAUCUAAGUCAGACGUGAAAUCCCCCGGCUUAACCUGGGAACUGCGUCUGAUACUGGACGGCUUGAGUAUGGGAGAGGAACGUAGAAUUCCAGGUGUAGCGGUGAAAUGCGUAGAUAUCGGGAGGAACGCCGGUGGCGAAAGCGAUCGUCUGGAGUGCAUGUGACGCUGAGGCGCGAAAGCUAGGGGAGCAAACGGG